rnacentral:lncRNA from 1 species
CACCAGGACAAGGACUUAAACUGCUGUUUUGUAUUUUGUGGUCAUUUCUCAGCCACUGGUGUGACUGUGGACUUCCAGAAGAACAGGCAGUGUCAGGACCCUUCUGGGAAGGCCUUGUUGCAGAAUUUCAGCACUCUGGUUUGUGUGGGGUUCACUGAUCACCCAGACCUGCUUAUCUGUGGAAACCUAGAAGGUGGAGAGGGAGGAGACAGUACCUAAGGAUCCAGGUUGUGAUGGUUUGUAUAUGGUUGGCCCAGGGAGUGGCAUUUUUUGGAGGUGUGGCCUUCUUGAUGUAGGUAUGCCACUAUAGGCUUGGGCUUUAAAACCUUCAUCAUAGCUGCCUGGAAGCCAGUCUUCUAGCUACGUUCAGAUGAAGAGAAGAACUCUUAGAUCCUCUUGCACGAUGCCUGCCUGGACACUGUCAAACCCCCACCUUGAUGAUAAUGAACUGAACUUCUGAACCUGUAAGCCAGCCCCAACUAAAUAUCCUUUUAAGGGUUGUGUUGGUCAUGGUAUCUGUUUAUAGCAGUAAAACCCUAACUAAGACAGAAGUCAUACUGUCCCUCCUCCAUAAUUAAAUCUAUUCCACCAUUCUUCCAUUUUUCCUCUUUAGAUCCUUUAGUUCCCUGUUAUUCCCCUUUCUAUUAUUCCCCCACAUUCCACAAUGAUCUGCUUUUAGUUUUCUGGUUACUGCAGGUACUCCAGGUUGUGAACUCACAUCAGAAGUUUUGGAUCUAGAAACUUCCUAUGAGAGAGAAGAUGCAAUGCCUGUCUUUCUGGUUCUGGGUUACUCCACUGACUGUGAUCUUUUAUUAGGCCACCUAUUUACCUGCAACACUCCUGACUUUAAUUUUCUUUACAGCUUAAUAAUAUUCCAUAGUGUAUAUGCACCACAUUUCCACUCUCCAUUUGUCCAUUGAAGGCCAUUUAAAUUGUU